rnacentral:rRNA from 1 species
ACCAGACUCCUACGGGAGGCAGCAGUGGGGAAUAUUGCACAAUGGGGGAAACCCUGAUGCAGCAACGCCGCGUGAGUGAAGAAGUAUUUCGGUAUGUAAAGCCCUAUCAGCAGGGAAGAAAAUGACGGUACCUGAUUAAGAAGCCCCGGCUAACUACGUGCCAGCAGCCGCGGUAAUACGUAGGGGGCAAGCGUUAUCCGGAUUUACUGGGUGUAAAGGGAGCGUAGACGGCAUUGCAAGUCCGGAGUGAAAGCCUACGGCCCAACCGUGGGACUGCUCUGGAAACUGUAGAGCUGGAGUGCGGGAGGGGCAGGCGGAAUUCCUAGUGUAGCGGUGAAAUGCGUAGAUAUUAGGAGGAACACCGGCGGCGAAGGCGGCCUGCUGGACCGUAACUGACGUUGAGGCUCGAAAGCGUGGGGAGCAAACAGGAUUAGAUACCCCGGUAA